rnacentral:lncRNA from 1 species
AAAGAGAUGGCCGAGAAACAGAACCGGCCAGAGCAGCCACAGUGAUUCUGUAUGUGGAAUUUCGUCAAGAUCGAGAAGACACGGGCCCACCUGUCUACCGUACAGCGAAGCUUGACCAUUCUCCUGAUCUGUGGACCUGGUCUUCACAGCCACGGCCACGGCUGCCGGCUCAAGUUUCAUGAGUGACACACAGUAAAACACCGGUACACAGUGUAGAGGAUUUUAUCUGAUGACUGCUGCCACCUAGUGGCUGAAUAUGCUGAAAAUUAUCAUUGUGGAACUCCCUCGCACCUUCCUGCGUGGUUGUGAAAUAACCUGAAACAGCAACAUAUAAGCAUAUAAGCGUAACCGUAAUCUAUUGUCCUGAG